GUUAGAGCGUUGGACCAGUAACCAGCAGGUAGCCUUGUGGUUAGAGCGUUGGGCCAGUCACCAGCAGGUAGCCUAGUGGUUGGAGCGUUGGGCCAGUCACCAGCAGGUAGCCUAGUGGUUAGAGCGUUGGGCCAGUCACCAGCAGGUAGCCUAGUGGUUAGAGUGUUGGGCCAGUCACCAGCAGGUAGCCUAGUGGUUAGAGUGUUGGGCCAGUCACCAGCAGGUAGCCUAGUGGUUAGAGCGUUGGGCCAGUCACCAGCAGGUAGCCUAGUGGUUAGAGUGUUGGGCCAGUCACCAGCAGGUAGCCUAGUGGUUAGAGCGUUGGGCCAGUCACCAGCAGGUAGCCUAGUGGUUAGAGCGUUGGGCCAGUAACCGAAAGGUUGCAAGAUUGAAUCCCCGAGCUGACAAGGUAAAAAUCUGUUGCUCUGCCCCUGAACAAGGCAAUUAACCCACUGUUCCCUGGUAGGCCA
ensembl:lncRNA